UAUCUGACAUGGUCUCAUUAUGUAGUAAUGUAUCUGACAUGGUCUCAUUAUGUAGUAAUGUAUCUGACAUGGUCUCAUUAUGUAGUAAUGUAUCUGACAUGGUCUCAUUAUGUAGUAAUGUAUUUGAGGUAGACAUGGUCUCAUUAUGUAGUAAUGUAUCUGAGGUCAAAACACCAGACAUGGUCUCAUUAUGUAGUAAUGUAUCUGACAUGGUCUCAUUAUGUAGUAAUGUAUCUGAGGUAGACAUGGUCUCAUUAUGUAGUAAUGUAUCUGAGUUGAAACACCAGACAUGGUCUCAUUAUGUAGUAAUGUAUCUGAGUUGAAACACCAGACAUGGUCUCAUUAUGUAGUAAUGUAUCUGAGGUAGACAUGGUCUCAUUAUGUAGUAAUGUAUCUGAGGUGAAACACCAGACAUGGUCUCAUUAUGUAGUAAUGUAUCUGAGGUAGACAUGGUCUCAUUAUGUAGUAAUGUAUCUGAGGUGAAACACCAGACAUGGUCUCAUUAUGUACUAAUGUAUCUGAGGUAGACAUGGUCUCAUUAUGUAGUAAUGUAUCUGAGGUGAAACACCAGACAUGGUCUCAUUAUGUAGUAAUGUAUCUGAGGAAGACAUGGUCUCAUUAUGUAGUAAUGUAUCUGAGGUAGACAUGGUCUCAUUAUGUAGUAAUGUAUUUGAGGUAGACAUGGUCCCAUUAUGUAGUAAUGUAUCAGACAUGGUGUCAUUAUGUAGUAAUGUAUCUGAGGUGAAACAACAGACAUGGUCUCAUUAUGUAGUAAUGUAUCAGACAUGGUGUCAUUAUGUAGUAAUGUAUCUGAGGUAGACAUGGUCUCAUUAUGUAGUAAUGUAUCUGAGGUGAAACACCAGACAUGGUCUCAUUAUGUAGUAAUGUAUCUGAGGUAGACAUGGUCUCAUUAUGUAGUAAUGUAUCUGACAUGGUCUCAUUAUGUAGUAAUGUAUCUGAGGUAGACAUGGUCUCAUUAUGUAGUAAUGUAUCAGACAUGGUCUCAUUAUGUAGUAAUGUAUCUGAGGUAGACAUGGUCUCAUUAUGUAGUAAUGUAUCUGAGGUAGACAUGGUCUCAUUAUGUAGUAAUGUAUCUGAGGUGAAACACCAGACAUGGUCUCAUUAUGUAGUAAUGUAUCUGAGGUGAAAACACCAGACAUGGUCUCAUUAUGUAGUAAUGUAUCUGACAUGGUCUCAUUAUGUAGUAAUGUAUCUGAGGUAGACAUGGUCUCAUUAUGUAGUAAUGUAUCUGAGGUGAAACACCAGACAUGGUCUCAUUAUGUAGUAAUGUAUCUGAGGUAGACAUGGUCUCAUUAUGUAGUAAUGUAUCUGAGGUAGACAUGGUCUCAUUAUGUAUUAAUGUUUCUGAGGUGAAACACCAGACAUGGUCUCAUUAUGUAGUAAUGUAUCUGAGGUGAAACACCAGACAUGGUCUCAUUAUGUAGUAAUGUAUCUGACAUGGUCUCAUUAUGUAGUAAUGUAUCUGAGGUAGACAUGGUCUCAUUAUGUAGUAAUGUAUCUGAGGUGAAACACCAGACAUGGUCUCAUUAUGUAGUAAUGUAUCUGAGGUAGACAUGGUCUCAUUAUGUAGUAAUGUAUCUGAGGUGAAACACCAGACAUGGUCUCAUUAUGUACUAAUGUAUCUGAGGUAGACAUGGUCUCAUUAUGUAGUAAUGUAUCUGAGGUGAAACACCAGACAUGGUCUCAUUAUGUAGUAAUGUAUCUGAGGAAGACAUGGUCUCAUUAUGUAGUAAUGUAUCUGAGGUAGACAUGGUCUCAUUAUGUAGUAAUGUAUUUGAGGUAGACAUGGUCCCAUUAUGUAGUAAUGUAUCAGACAUGGUGUCAUUAUGUAGUAAUGUAUCUGAGGUGAAACAACAGACAUGGUCUCAUUAUGUAGUAAUGUAUCAGACAUGGUGUCAUUAUGUAGUAAUGUAUCUGAGGUAGACAUGGUCUCAUUAUGUAGUAAUGUAUCUGAGGUGAAACACCAGACAUGGUCUCAUUAUGUAGUAAUGUAUCUGAGGUAGACAUGGUCUCAUUAUGUAGUAAUGUAUCUGACAUGGUCUCAUUAUGUAGUAAUGUAUCUGAGGUAGACAUGGUCUCAUUAUGUAGUAAUGUAUCAGACAUGGUCUCAUUAUGUAGUAAUGUAUCUGAGGUAGACAUGGUCUCAUUAUGUAGUAAUGUAUCUGAGGUAGACAUGGUCUCAUUAUGUAGUAAUGUAUCUGAGGUGAAACACCAGACAUGGUCUCAUUAUGUAGUAAUGUAUCUGAGGUGAAACACCAGACAUGGUCUCAUUAUGUAGUAAUGUAUCUGACAUGGUCUCAUUAUGUAGUAAUGUAUCUGAGGUAGACAUGGUCUCAUUAUGUAGUAAUGUAUCUGAGUUGAAACACCAGACAUGGUCUCAUUAUGUAGUAAUGUAUCUGAGGUAGACAUGGUCUCAUUAUGUAGUAAUGUAUCUGAGGUGAAACACCAGACAUGGUCUCAUUAUGUAGUAAUGUAUCUGAGGUAGACAUGGUCUCAUUAUGUAGUAAUGUAUCUGACAUGGUCUCAUUAUGUAGUAAUGUAUCUGAGGUGAAACAUCAGACAUGGUCUCAUUAUGUAGUAAUGUAUCUGAGUUGAAACACCAGACAUGGUCUCAUUAUGUAGUAAUGUAUCUGACAUGGUCUCAUUAUGUAGUAAUGUAUCUGAGGUAGACAUGGUCUCAUUAUGUAGUAAUGUAUCUGACAUGGUCUCAUUAUGUAGUAAUGUAUCUGACAUGGUCUCAUUAUGUAGUAAUGUAUCUGAGGUAGACAUGGUCUCAUUAUGUAGUAAUGUAUCUGAGGUCAAAACACCAGACAUGGUCUCAUUAUGUAGUAAUGUAUCUGACAUGGUCUCAUUAUGUAGUAAUGUAUCUGAGGUGAAACACCAGACAUGGUCUCAUUAUGUAGUAAUGUAUCUGAGGUAGACAUGGUCUCAUUAUGUAGUAAUGUAUCUGAGUUGAAACACCAGACAUGGUCUCAUUAUGUAGUAAUGUAUCUGAGGUAGACAUGGUCUCAUUAUGUAGUAAUGUAUCUGAGGUAGACAUGGUCUCAUUAUGUAGUAAUGUAUCUGAGGUGAAACACCAGACAUGGUCUCAUUAUGUAGUAAUGUAUCUGAGGAGAAACAUCUGACAUGGUCUCAUUAUGUAGUAAUGUAUCUGAGGUAGACAUGGUCUCAUUAUGUAGUAAUGUAUCUGAGUUGAAACACCAGACAUGGUCUCAUUAUGUAGUAAUGUAUCUGACAUGGUCUCAUUAUGUAGUAAUGUAUCUGAGGUAGACAUGGUCUCAUUAUGUAGUAAUGUAUCUGAGGUGAAACACCAGACAUGGUCUCAUUAUGUAGUAAUGUAUCUGAGGUAGACAUGGUCUCAUUAUGUAGUAAUGUAUCUGAGGUGAAACACCAGACAUGGUCUCAUUAUGUACUAAUGUAUCUGAGGUAGACAUGGUCUCAAUAUGUAGUAAUGUAUCUGAGGUGAAACACCAGACAUGGUCUCAUUAUGUAGUAAUGUAUCUGAGGAAGACAUGGUCUCAUUAUGUAGUAAUGUAUCUGAGGUAGACAUGGUCUCAUUAUGUAGUAAUGUAUUUGAGGUAGACAUGGUCCCAUUAUGUAGUAAUGUAUCAGACAUGGUGUCAUUAUGUAGUAAUGUAUCUGAGGUGAAACAACAGACAUGGUCUCAUUAUGUAGUAAUGUAUCAGACAUGGUGUCAUUAUGUAGUAAUGUAUCUGAGGUAGACAUGGUCUCAUUAUGUAGUAAUGUAUCUGAGGUGAAACACCAGACAUGGUCUCAUUAUGUAGUAAUGUAUCUGAGGUAGACAUGGUCUCAUUAUGUAGUAAUGUAUCUGACAUGGUCUAAUUAUGUAGUAAUGUAUCUGAGGUAGACAUGGUCUCAUUAUGUAGUAAUGUAUCAGACAUGGUCUCAUUAUGUAGUAAUGUAUCUGAGGUAGACAUGGUCUCAUUAUGUAGUAAUGUAUCUGAGGUAGACAUGGUCUCAUUAUGUAGUAAUGUAUCUGAGGUGAAACACCAGACAUGGUCUCAUUAUGUAGUAAUGUAUCUGAGGUGAAACACCAGACAUGGUCUCAUUAUGUAGUAAUGUAUCUGACAUGGUCUCAUUAUGUAGUAAUGUAUCUGAGGUAGACAUGGUCUCAUUAUGUAGUAAUGUAUCUGAGUUGAAACACCAGACAUGGUCUCAUUAUGUAGUAAUGUAUCUGAGUUGAAACACCAGACAUGGUCUCAUUAUGUAGUAAUGUAUCUGACAUGGUCUCAUUAUGUAGUAAUGUAUCUGAGGUAGACAUGGUCUCAUUAUGUAGUAAUGUAUCUGACAUGGUCUCAUUAUGUAGUAAUGUAUCUGACAUGGUCUCAUUAUGUAGUAAUGUAUCUGAGGUAGACAUGGUCUCAUUAUGUAGUAAUGUAUCUGAGGUCAAAACACCAGACAUGGUCUCAUUAUGUAGUAAUGUAUCUGACAUGGUCUCAUUAUGUAGUAAUGUAUCUGAGGUGAAACACCAGACAUGGUCUCAUUAUGUAGUAAUGUAUCUGAGGUAGACAUGGUCUCAUUAUGUAGUAAUGUAUCUGAGUUGAAACACCAGACAUGGUCUCAUUAUGUAGUAAUGUAUCUGAGGUAGACAUGGUCUCAUUAUGUAGUAAUGUAUCUGAGGUAGACAUGGUCUCAUUAUGUAGUAAUGUAUCUGAGGUGAAACACCAGACAUGGUCUCAUUAUGUAGUAAUGUAUCUGAGGAGAAACAUCUGACAUGGUCUCAUUAUGUAGUAAUGUAUCUGAGGUAGACAUGGUCUCAUUAUGUAGUAAUGUAUCUGAGUUGAAACACCAGACAUGGUCUCAUUAUGUAGUAAUGUAUCUGAGGUGAAACACCAGACAUGGUCUCAUUAUGUAGUAAUGUAUCUGAGGAGAAACAUCUGACAUGGCCUCAUUAUGUAGUAAUGUAUCUGAGGUAGACAUGGUCUCAUUAUGUAGUAAUGUAUCUGAGGUAGACAUGGUCUCAUUAUGUAGUAAUGUAUCUGAGGUGAAACACCAGACAUGGUCUCAUUAUGUAGUAAUGUAUCUGAGGUAGACAUGGUCUAAUUAUGUAGUAAUGUAUCUGAGGUAGACAUGGUCUCAUUAUGUAGUAAUGUAUCUGACAUGGUCUCAUUAUGUAGUGAUGUAUCUGAGGUGUUCUCAUUAUGUAGUAAUGUAUCUGACAUGGUCUCAUUAUGUAGUAAUGUAUCUGACAUGGUCUCAUUAUGUAGUAAUGUAUCUGACAUGGUCUCAUUAUGUAGUAAUGUAUCUGACAUGGUCUCAUUAUGUAGUAAUGUAUCUGACAUGGUCUCAUUAUGUAGUAAUGUAUCUGACAUGGUCUCAUUAUGUAGUAAUGUAUCUGAGGUAGACAUGGUCUCAUUAUGUAGUAAUGUAUCUGAGGUAGACAUGGUCUCAUUAUGUAGUAAUGUAUCUGACAUGGUCUCAUUAUGUAGUAAUGUAUCUGACAUGGUCUCAUUAUGUAGUAAUGUAUCUGAGGUGAAACACCAGACAUGGUCUCAUUAUGUAGUAAUGUAUCUGACAUGGUCUCAUUAUGUAGUAAUGUAUCUGAGGUAGACAUGGUCUCAUUAUGUAGUAAUGUAUCUGAGGUGAAACAACAGACAUGGUCUCAUUAUGUAGUAAUGUAUCUGAGGUAGACAUGGUCUCAUUAUGUCGUAAUGUAUCUGACAUGGUCUCAUUAUGUAGUAAUGUAUCUGAGGUAGACAUGGUCUCAUUAUGUAGUAAUGUAUCUGAGGUGAAACACCAGACAUGGUCUCAUUAUGUAGUAAUGUAUCUGAGGUAGACAUGGUCUCAUUAUGUAGUAAUGUAUCUGAGGUGAAACACCAGACAUGGUCUCAUUAUGUACUAAUGUAUCUGAGGUAGACAUGGUCUCAUUAUGUAGUAAUGUAAUCUGAGGUAGACAUGGUCUCAUUAUGUAGUAAUGUAUCUGACAUGGUCUCAUUAUGUAGUAAUGUAUCUGAGGUAGACAUGGUCUCAUUAUGUAGUAAUGUAACUGAGGUAGACAUGGUCUCAUUAUGUAGUAAUGUAUCUGAGGUAGACAUGGUCUCAUUAUGUACUAAUGUAUCUGAGGUAGACAUGGUCUCAUUAUGUAGUAAUGUAUCUAACAUGGUCUCAUUAUGUAGUAAUGUAUCUGAGGUAGACAUGGUCUCAUUAUGUAGUAAUGUAUCUGAGGUAGACAUGGUCUCAUUAUGUAGUAAUGUAUCUGACAUGGUCUCAUUAUGUAGUAAUGUAUCUGAGGUGAAACACCAGACAUGGUCUCAUUAUGUAGUAAUGUAUCUGACAUGGUCUCAUUAUGUAGUAAUGUAAUCUGACAUGGUCUCAUUAUGUAGUAAUGUAUCUGAGGUAGACAUGGUCUCAUUAUGUAGUAAUGUAUCUGACAUGGUCUCAUUAUGUAGUAAUGUAUCUGAGGUGAAACACCAGACAUGGUCUCAUUAUGUAGUAAUGUAUCUGACAUGGUCUCAUUAUGUAGUAAUGUAUCUGACAUGGUCUCAUUAUGUAGUAAUGUAUCUGAGGUAGACAUGGUCUCAUUUUGUAGUAAUGUAUCUGAGGUGAAACAACAGACAUGGUCUCAUUAUGUAGUAAUGUAUCUGAGGUAGACAUGGUCUCAUUAUGUAGUAAUGUAUCUGACAUGGUCUCAUUAUGUAGUAAUGUAUCUGACAUGGUCUCAUUAUGUAGUAAUGUAUCUGAGGUGAAACACCAGACAUGGUCUCAUUAUGUAGUAAUGUAUCUGACAUGGUCUCAUUAUGUAGUAAUGUAAUCUGACAUGGUCUCAUUAUGUAGUAAUGUAUCUGACAUGGUCUCAUUAUGUAGUAAUGUAUCUGACAUGGUCUCAUUAUGUAGUAAUGUAUCUGAGGUGAAACACCAGACAUGGUCUCAUUAUGUAGUAAUGUAUCUGACAUGGUCUCAUUAUGUAGUAAUGUAUCUGACAUGGUCUCAUUAUGUAGUAAUGUAUCAGACAUGGUCUCAUUAUGUAGUAAUGUAUCUGAGGUAGACAUGGUCUCAUUAUGUAGUAAUGUAUCUGAGGUGAAACAACAGACAUGGUCUCAUUAUGUAGUAAUGUAUCUGACAUGGUCUCAUUAUGUAGUAAUGUAUCUGACAUGGUC